rnacentral:rRNA from 1 species
UACGUAGGGUGCGAGCGUUAAUCGGAAUUACUGGGCGUAAAGGGCGCGUAGGCGGCCUGCUAAGUCGAACGUGAAAUCCCUGGGCUCAACCCAGGAACUGCGUCCGAUACUGGUUGGCUUGAAUCCGGGAGAGGGAUGUGGAAUUCCAGGUGUAGCGGUGAAAUGCGUAGAUAUCUGGAGGAACACCGGUGGCGAAGGCGACAUCCUGGACCGGCAUUGACGCUGAGGCGCGAAAGCCAGGGGAGCAAACGGG